rnacentral:lncRNA from 1 species
UACCACUCUCUCGCACACUCUUAUCACUGCGAAAAAAAAAAAAAAAAAAUGUUCAAGAGAUUCUUUCAAGCCUUCCGUCGUGCUUCUCAGACCUUUGCCUUCUCCCCCAAAGCCAAUGGGUUUCCAGUUAACAAAGGCUUUUCCCAAAUCAACAUGUUUGUGGUGCAGCGGAUGGGUCGCUGUUCGAUCCUGAGCAUGGAGAAAAUACGCUACAUGAAUGGGGCCUACCGGCGUGAAUUCAAAUUAGUCAAACUCCAAUGCGGGUACCGGAUACCGAAUAAGAAAAAAAAAAAAAAGAAAAAAAAGAAAAAAAAAAAAACUUCUCCCCAAAACCUGGUACCACCACCGCCUUCUCCCCACAUGAACAUGGGCUUUUCAGGUCGAUUUGACACCAAAACUGUUGUUGCUACCACAUGAACUUACCUCUAGUUACUAACCCACUUCAAUUUCUCGACCCUGAACGUGGAUUUCAGGGCAAAACCCACAUGAACUCACCUCUAGUUACUAACCCACUCAGAUUUCCCGACCCUGAAAGUAUAUUUCAACCCAAAAUAACUCCUACUCACCACAAUAACUCCUUCCAGGUCUAUUCCGUUUCCUGAAUAUGUUCAUUCGUUUUUUUAGCGGGAAUUCCGUUUCCUGAAUAUGUUCAUUUCGUUUUUUUAGCGGAAACCGAGAGAAAAAGGAAAGAGGUUGGAGUUUAGGGGAAAAAGAAAAUACACAAUGCAAUGGGAUUUCGAAUAAUAAGGUUUGUACACAACAUUAUCGUUCUGGAGGACUAUGAUCAUGUCAUUAAAUUUCAUCCAAAGAAUUUAUUCUGGCUUGUGAAAAGUGCGGUAUGGAGGAUUAUCGUGUUCAUUCAGCAUUUUUGUAUCGAAGAGGAGAUGGUAUCGUGGACCCUGCGGAGUACAACUACAACAAGAAGUAA